rnacentral:rRNA from 1 species
AGCAGCCGCGGUAAUUCCAGCUCCAAUAGCGUAUAUUAAAGUUGUUGCAGUUAAAAAGCUCGUAGUUGAAUUUCGGGAUCAAUAUGUCGGUCGUGCCUUCGGUACGUACUGGUAUCAUUGGUCUCUCCUUUCUGACGAACCAUGAUGUCAUUAAUUUGGUGUUAUGGGGAGUUAGGACUGUUACUUUGAAAAAAUUAGAGUGUUUAAAGCAGGCUUUAGCUUGAAUACAUUAGCAUGGAAUAAUGAAAUAGGACGUUCGAACCUAUUUUGUUGGUUUCUAGGAUCAACGUAAUGAUUAAUAGGGAUAGUUGGGGGCAUUAGUAUUCAAUUGUCAGAGGUGAAAUUCUUGGAUUUAUUGAAGACUAACUACUGCGAAAGCAUUUGCCAAGGAUGUUUUCAUUAAUCAAGAACGAAAGUUAGGGGAUCGGAGACGAUCAGAUACCGUCGUAGUCUUAACCAUAGACUAUGCCGACUAGGGAUCGGAUGAUGUUAAUUUUUAAUGUACUCAUUCGGCG